rnacentral:rRNA from 1 species
UACGUAGGUGGCGAACGUUGUUCAGGGUUACUAGGUGUAAAGCAAGCGUAGGUGAGAGGAAAAGUCACAAGUGAAAACCUCAGGCUUAACCUGAGGAGGUCUUGUGAUACUAUCUUUUUUGAGUUUGGGAGAGGUAACUAGAAUUCCAGGUGUAGCGGUGAAAUGCGUAGAAAUCUGGAGGAAUACCAAUGGCGAAGGCAGGUUACUGGCCCAAUACUGACACUGAGGCUUGAAAGCUAGGGGAG